rnacentral:rRNA from 1 species
AUUGAACGCUGGCGGCAUGCUUUACACAUGCAAGUCGAACGGUAGAGGGGGCAACCCCUUGAGAGUGGCGAACGGGUGAGUAAUGCAUCGGAACGUGCCCAGUCGUGGGGGAUAACGCAGCGAAAGCUGUGCUAAUACCGCAUACGAUCUCUGGAUGAAAGCGGGGGACCGAAAGGCCUCGCGUGAUUGGAGCGGCCGAUGUCAGAUUAGGUAGUUGGUGGGGUAAAGGCUCACCAAGCCAACGAUCUGUAGCUGGUCUGAGAGGACGACCAGCCACACUGGGACUGAGACACGGCCCAGACUCCUACGGGAGGCAGCAGUGGGGAAUUUUGGACAAUGGGCGCAAGCCUGAUCCAGCGAUGCCGCGUGCAGGAAGAAGGCCUUCGGGUUGUAAACUGCUUUUGUACGGAACGAAAAGGUCUGGGUUAAUACCCUGGGCAAAUGACGGUACCGUAAGAAUAAGCACCGGCUAACUACGUGCCAGCCGCCGCAGUAA